AAGACUAUACUUUCAGGGAUCAUUUCUAUAGUUUCUGACUAGAGAAAUGUGUUUCUAAAGUGUUUGGUCUCGCUAGCCACGAUGAUGAGUUGUGAUGUUUCCUUCCGAGAGAGAAGCUGGCAGUGAAUAAUGACUCUGUUCAUAUGUUCACUGUCAUUGAUGACUGAUCUUUGCUUCCUUGUUAAGCAAAGAGGAAGACAACAUGGUCAGAGUGGUU
ensembl:snoRNA small nucleolar RNA U3